GACAGAGGCCUCAAGCGUUAGGCGGAAUCACUGGGCUUAAAGCGUGUGUAGGCGGAUCGUUAAGUGUCUUGUGAAAUCCCACGGCUCACCCGUGGAACUGCUGGGCAUACUGGCGAUCUUGGGCCAACUAGGGGCAACUGGAACAAGCGGUGGAGCGGUGAAAUGCGUAGAUAUCGCUUGGAACGCCAAAGGUGAAAACAGGUUGCUGGGCCGACACUGACGCUGAGUGCGCGAAAGCCAGGGGAGCAAACGGG
rnacentral:rRNA from 1 species